AUUGAACGCUGGCGGCAUGCCUUACACAUGCAAGUCGAACGGUAACGGGCCUUCGGGUGCCGACGAGUGGCGAACGGGUGAGUAAUGUAUCGGAACGUACCUUUCAGUGGGGGAUAACGUAGCGAAAGUUACGCUAAUACCGCAUAUUCUGUGAGCAGGAAAGCAGGGGAUCGCGAGACCUUGCGCUGAUUGAGCGGCCGAUAUCAGAUUAGCUAGUUGGUGAGGUAAAGGCUCACCAAGGCGACGAUCUGUAGCGGGUCUGAGAGGAUGAUCCGCCACACUGGAACUGAGACACGGUCCAGACUCCGACGGGAGGCAGCAGUGGGGAAUUUUGGACAAUGGGGGCAACCCUGAUCCAGCCAUGCCGCGUGAGUGAAGAAGGCCUUCGGGUUGUAAAGCUCUUUCGGCCGGGAAGAAAUCGUAUCAGCUAAUACCUGGUGCGGAUGACGGUACCGGCAUAAGAAGCACCGGCUAACUACGUGCCAGCCGCCGCGGUAACAC
rnacentral:rRNA from 1 species